AUUGAACGCUGGCGGCAUGCCUUACACAUGCAAGUCGAACGGCAGCACGGGGCAACCUGGUGGCGAGUGGCGAACGGGUGAGUAAUGCAUCGGAACGUACCUUUCAGUGGGGGAUAACGUAGCGAAAGUUACGCUAAUACCGCAUAUUCUGUGAGCAGGAAAGCAGGGGAUCGCAAGACCUUGCGCUGAUUGAGCGGCCGAUGUCAGAUUAGCUAGUUGGUGAGGUAAAGGCUCACCAAGGCGACGAUCUGUAGCGGGUCUGAGAGGAUGAUCCGCCACACUGGAACUGAGACACGGGCCAGGCUCCUACGGGAGGCAGCAGUGGGGAAUUUUGGACAAUGGGGGCAACCCUGAUCCAGCCAUGCCGCGUGAGUGAAGAAGGCCUUCGGGUUGUAAAGCUCUUUCGGCCGGGAAGAAAUCGCACGGGCUAAUACCCUGUGUGGAUGACGGUACCGGAAUAAGAAGCACCGGCUAACUACGUGCCAGCCGCCGCGGUAAGAC
rnacentral:rRNA from 1 species